rnacentral:misc_RNA from 1 species
CAGUUCUGGUCGCAAAUUGACGACGCGCACAGAGAGGCGGGACCCAGUUUAACAGAACACCGGCUCCACUGGGGGGAAUCCCCUGUUAAAAAUAACAACGGGAUCGAAAGAGCUGCACAACGUUUGUUUUGGGAGAGUUUGGUUUAUGGAAAGUCUGGGCUUUAAAGGUUGGCAAAGAAUGAACAUGAUGAAGUUGAAAAGAUUGGUCUGUCAGUGUCCAUGCUCUGACAAAUACAGUGAUGUGAUCUCGGAGAGGCCCAGACUGGGUUGGAUGUCAUCAUUUGUGUUGAUGAGAGCUCGCACAGCAGAUGCUCGUCACUUUUCAUGCCACAUGUUAAGUAAACUGAAGCUGUGCCAGUUGCAUGAAACAUUGACAGUAUUGUUUGCUUUUGUGAUUCUACUGUGUGCAUGUGGAACUGUAGCCGAGUCAACAUCUACCGAUACAAUCCAGUACAGCAUAGAUGGAUCAUGGAUUACAUGCAAAAGUGUCACAUGCCCUCGUGGGUACGAAACAGUUGCCUGCACGAAGAAUGGAGGGAAAGACACGUGUCACUUGUGUUCCUGGGACAAGUACCAGCCAGUGGACAAUGUCACAUCUCAGAUGAGAUUGAAAUGUUUCCCAAUAGUUUGUGCUCCAGACAAUCAGAGGCCGGUACAGCGAGGAGAGCCUGGUCCAGGGAACCCACCGGUCUGUGUGUGUGACACCACAAGACACAAUUACCAACACAGUGACAUACCAGAGGACUGCAGGCGCCGGAUCUGUGGCAGGUCAGAGACUCUACUCCUGAAUGGAACAUGUAAUUGUAUGAAGGGCCGUGUCAGAAACAAAGAUGGACAUUGUGUAUGGAACCGGCCUCAGCCAAGUCUCUCUUCUGAAUCUAUUAGGCAAUUGGAUGCUACUCUAGGGUACGUACAACCAGGACCUCAUACCACUUCUACCUCAGAUGUUCUGGCCAGAACUACGGCCAGACAUAACACAACCGAUCAUGGUGCUGUAACAGUAUCAACAGGAUCGAUAUCAACAGAUACUUCCACUGUGCCAAGACUUGACCAAGAACAUGGAGUAGGAAAAACCUGGACACCUGGCAUUGUUGCUGCAGUUGUUGCUGUUUUGGUUGUUUUAGCCAUAUCCUGGGUUGUGUACAAAGUUGUUGUGCUUCUAGAAAAGAAGAAACGGGAUAGAAGAGUGAAGGUGGAUAAGAACGGUGGGGAAGAGGGACUUUUGACGGCAGAUGAAUCAAGUGCAGCUUCGUCACAAGAAGUCCAGAAGGAGAGUCCUUCCACAUCGGAAACAUGUACACAAGUGAUAAUUGAUCAGAGCCAGCACUAUCAUGCACCUGUCACAAACAUCACAGCCUGCAGUGGCGUACAGAUCGGACCAAACAACAGCAUGACCAAUCAACCAGACCAGGAUGGAGAUGAUGAAAUUUAAUGUCAGCAUGAAGGAUGACUCUGUAACAAGUGUUUGUCUUUUCAGAUAAGCUUUUAAAUAAAGUACAAGAAGAAGACAGAGUUGUCAAUAUCCCCUGCUGUUGUAAAUACUUGUUAUGAAAAGCGAUGGGAUUUGCGGCUAUCGUCCCAUGACUUAGGAUCUCGCACGCUAAAUUUGAGACACAGUUUGAUGGACACUUGGACAUAUCCCUCAUGCGACGAACAGAUACUUCCUGGAAAUAAGUGAACAAUUGACUUGCCUUUGCAUGUAUUUGUGACGGGUGGCCAUUGGCGGGGCAGGAUACGCUCACCUUUUCGCGAACAUUUGGCAUCAUCGAUAUUUGAUAGUGAUUCAUAAACAUA